GACGAACGCUGGCGGCGUGCUUAACACAUGCAAGUCGAACGGAAAGGCCCUGCUUGCCGGGUACUCGAGUGGCGAACGGGUGAGUAACACGUGGGUGAUCUGCCCUGCACUUCGGGAUAAGCCUGGGAAACUGGGUCUAAUACCGGAUAGGAGCCAUUUUUAGUGUGAUGGUUGGAAAGUUUUUUCGGUGUAGGAUGAGCUCGCGGCCUAUCAGCUUGUUGGUGGGGUAAUGGCCUACCAAGGCGGCGACGGGUAGCCGGCCUGAGAGGGUGGACGGCCACAUUGGGACUGAGAGACGGCCCAGACUCCUACGGGAGGCAGCAGUGGGGAAUAUUGCACAAUGGGCGCAAGCCUGAUGCAGCGACGCCGCGUGGGGGAUGACGGCCUUCGGGUUGUAAACUCCUUUCGCUAGGGACGAAGCUUUUUGUGACGGUACCUAGAGAAGAAGCACCGGCUAACUACGUG
rnacentral:rRNA from 1 species